UGUUAAAAAUUUCAUCCAUUCAUACGGUUAAAAAAUAAUGUAGUUGACGGAAUAAUUAGAGAGUUACACAUGGCAUGCUACAUGUACCUCAUGCCAACAUACCAAUUUUUAAAGGUAGAAAUGGAUGAAUUUUAACA
rfam:Gossypium hirsutum cultivar TM-1 unplaced genomic scaffold scaffold2005.1, whole genome shotgun sequence